UUCACAAACAAGGUAGACAGUCUGGGAUUUUGAGAGCAAGAUUAUGUCUUCCUGUGGCUGCUGAGACCGUAUUGGAAAGUUGAUAUGUGGCAAUGAAGGAUUCUGGGGAUGCAUACAUUCACGCUUGGCAUUUUCUCAAGCCACCAGGCUCAGGACUUGAACCAUGCAGCCAACCAUGUGGAAUCUGACCACCUUAAACCCUAUGCCACCAGUUGAUACUGAAAGGUGAUUUCGAGUCUUCAAUUUUCAAGAAUUCUGACUGUUGAGGCAUCAUCCAUGGAAUCUUCGCUCACAGUUGCACGUGAGCAGACAACGGGGCAGAAGAAUAUCCUUUGACGGGGCAUCAAUAUGGCUGAAAAGAGCAACUGUUUGUUUGAUUGUAAAAACCAAUGUUUGUCAUUUGACAGUAGAAUUGGAUAAUGAAAUAAUUUGGAAUUUCUUCUUGAUUUUCUCCCCAUGUAUAGUUUUGGCUGGAUGUAAAAUAGCUUUGUUUUUGUUUUUGUUUUUACUACUAGCUUUGAGAUAGAAAAUAUUCACCACCCUUUUUAAAUCCUAAUGAUAUUCUAUUAUUACUCAGUUUCAUGAGUUGCUGACUUAGGCCUUACACAAAAAUGAGUAGCUCCAUUAGUUUACAUUAGAUUUUUGUCUCAUAUGCCUAUCAAGAGGACAGUCAGGUAGUGCCACUGUUAACUGUUUUGAGAUUUGGAACACAACUGGGGAAUUGAACUUCUUUUUUGUUGUUGUUGUUGGA